CCCCCCCCCCCCCCCCCCCCCCCUUCUCAUUGUGAAAUCUCUAUUCGUCUCUCUAUCUAGUGUGAAACUCUAGACCAUAGAACGUACCUACCCGUCAACACUCUUCUUCGCCAUUGUGGAACCCUACAAGAAAAUUUGAAGAUUCGUUGUUGGUAUCCAGAUUUCAUCCAUUGGAACUCAGAAUACCAUAGUUAUUUCAGUCUCGGACUCAGUUCCCCUCCAUUCUCUCUUCUGUUUUGGGUACCAGUUUCUCAUCUCUCUCUAUACAUCCCAUUUUUUGAGAUAUAUAUACAUAUAUUUAUGUAUGGGAGAUAUAUAUACAUAUAUUUCUGUUUAGAAGAAUUAAUCUUUUAUUAAUUCUUAUACACUCUAUUGCUAAGCACUCAUUAAGUUUGGGAGAAUAGUCUCUCUUUAAACAUGAGUUCAUAGUUAGUUUUGGUUCAACUCAUUUCAUGAUUGUUAGUGCCUGCAAGCAUCAAGUUUAGUCCUAGAUUAGUUCCCAAUUCCUGUAAUUUCCUUGUGUGUUGAGUCUGUAAGAUUUGGGAUUGUGAGAUAUAAAAAUAUGUAUCAGCAAUAUCGGUCAGAGUCUGACCAAUAUCAGAUUUAAUUGCUUUGGGAUUGAGAAUCCCACACACUCUUGAACCCAAAAUCUUAUAAAAUUCUGGUUAUGUUUAUGUCCUUCAUAUUCCUUAGUAAAAGGGUUUUUUUUUUUUU